AGGGGGUGUCCUGACAGGAGCCGGGCCCUGAGGGCGGCGGGGCGCGGUGUGGGCUCGGCACCGGGGGGGUUUCACCGCCCACCCCCCCCCGGCCUGGCCGCCAUUUGCUGGGCGGGAGCCAUGAGGGGAGGGCGGCGGCUGGCCCGGGGGGGCGGCUGGGGUGGAAGCCCCGGUCCUCAACCCAUCGGCAGCGGCUUAAUUAAAGGCAUCGACUUAAUUAGAAGCACAUCGAGAGCCUUUACAGGAGCUGUCGUCCAGCACGGAUGCGGCAGCUGUCCCUGUCCCCGCUUCCUGUGCUGGGGGUGGCAGCGGGGUGGUUCCUGGGCUUGCCCCUCUCCGCCUCGCUCCGUGCUCUGGCUGUGAAGCGCUCGGAAAUAACGAGGCAAGCCCGAGGGAGACGGGAAGCAUGACUGCACAAAAGGGGCUGGAGGGGCCGAGCAGCGAAAUACUCCCCUUGGGAGAGCUGUACGCCAGCUAGACCCAGCGUAUUUCCAGCCACAUGCAAAGCAGACAGUUGCUAAGGCAGCAGACUGCCGGGGCAGAUGAAGUGUGGCCCCGCUGCUGAAACAGGGCCUGGGAGCCAGGGCUGCCCCAUUGUUAUGUCCCACUCUUGGGGGCAGUGGGGUCUGACAGCCCCCCGGCAGCCCCGCCGGACGCCUGGGUGGCGGCAGGGGCUGUAAAGCCCUGGGCACGCCUGCCCCUCAACCCCUCAUCCCUCAGGGAGCACAAUUCAAUUUGGCCUUCACAUUUGAAAGAGCACUGGCGCCAGGGCUGGGUAUCUUGGCCUUCGUUUUGCAUAGGGCAGCCUUCGCGUGGCGUUUAAAGAUGAAUUAAUAGUUGAUAAUGCUAUUUAUUGUCUGCAUUUGAGAGCUAGCCUUGAAAGUAAAAGGAUCCCUUCUUAAUGCGUUAUGUAAUCACUGGAGGAAAAAAGCUCUAGAGAACAGUUCAUGCAUUUUUCUCUGGGCUAUCAACUCAAACUAAUUCUGUAGAUUUUUGAUUAGCAAUAAGCCUUAUUCAAGAAAUCUGUGUACAGUGACAAGUCAGUCCAGUGCUGAUGGAAGUUUUGUUCUCAGAAUGUAUGGGAGUCUCUGGGAGGUUAUAAACCCUAGAGCAGAGGAAGAGGAUAAGACUAUUUCAGCAUUUCCUGUACUCAAAAGACCCUUAUCUCUAGCUUUUGGAAUUUGUCCUGCCUUUUUCACAAAGCAACCCCCAGGUCACCUGGGGAAAGAAAAAUGUGUAAUGAGCAAGAGAGAAACAACUAAGAGAGAAAGUGCCUUGUUCACAACUAAUAGGUCUACUCUCAAUUAGGUGGGGUUUGAAGUAAACAAGGAGGAUCUGUGCUGUGGAGUGACUGCUGCCAAGAGGUUACAGGUCUCUCAGUUCACUUAGACCACCUCUGGGGAAAGCCAGAACAAUUACACCUCCUAGCAUUGAUCAGACAGGUGGAAAGACUUCUAAGACUUCUGUGUUUUUUCAUAUAACCUACAUUUUACUGGUGUCUUUUUGCUCAGUUAAGAAAGACAACAAUGUAUCUUCAUUUAACUAUGUAUAUCAGUAAAAGCCCUGAUAGUUUUGGGGGAGAAACAAAACAUUUUCUUCUAUUCAAAACUCAUGAUUAUCUCUGUGAUCAAGGGUGAGAUUCUUUUUUUCCAGUAGCCCUAAAAUUAGUACCUCUGUGUAUGAUCGCACUGAGGUCUGUGAAGUUUACUAGCAAUUUCUGUGGGUAGGCAAGGUAGACCAAUUUUGAGAAUUUAGAAAGCAUUUCUGUUGAUGUUAGAAGCAUUACCACUGACAGGCUGGAAACACACUGGUGUGCCACUUAGUCCACUGUCUUAUUUCCAGCAAUAUUUUUUCUCUCACAGGAACGCAGAACAAUUGACCAUAUAGUAACAUUUUCUGUUUAACACCCUGAGGCUGAAUUAUGUCUCAUUAGUGCUUGUAAGUACAAUAUAAUAAUCUAGAGUCCACCAAGAAAACAGGUGGAAAAAUUAUUACUUGAUAGGGAACAGAGAAAUUUAUAUAGAUAAGCAAGAUGAGAACUUACCAUUAAGCAACUUAGUUCAUGCUGAGUCUUCUGUCUUCUUUCCUGUUUUUGACUUUCUAAAGCUUUUGAGUGAAAGGCUCCGGUCUUAGUAAACUGCUCUAGAAAAAGGAGACAGGGAUUAUAAGAAGCAUGCCUGAAGAGUUAAGGUUUUUGCAGUCAUGUUUAUUCAGGAGGAAGAAUUAAACCGGGCACUUCUUCUCAUCUUGCAUGUGAAAGCAGGUUUGGCAAGAAGCUGUCUGUCUUUGGGUACCAAAAUGCAUUCUGGCCACUACAGAUUAGUUUAGUAUCAUGAAAUCAAUAGAACUGAAAUUGUACCCCAUGAGGAAAAAAAAAUCAAGCUUCUCCACAUAUACUGGCAACUCCCCUCUCUGGAAUGGAAACUGUAUCCAAAUGUCUUAGGAGAUAAUUUGGCCCUAGGAAACUAUUCAACUUUAUUGAAGCAAAAUAUUUCUUUUGUCUAAAGACAAUGACUCUUCUGGCUUGUAGAUGGUCCAUAUUUAAAGAUAAGAAGUUAUCUGUCCAUAUCAACUUCAGUUUUUAGUAUUUGGGUUGCAAGAGAAAAAUUUCAAGCUGGAUAAUCGACUUUUUUUUUUCUGAGUAUGAAUACUGAUUGUUACUUCUAAAUAGUAUGAGUAGCCAUCAAAAGCUUAAGAGCAAACAUGAACUGGAAUGAAACAAAGUAAUCUAGAAUUCUACAGCAUUUACAUGAGACAAUGUUGUUAUCUCUCAUUAAAUAACGGAUGAAAAUUACCUGCUUGCAACAAAGCUAAAUAGAAUUUGGGAUUACAGUUUUGGAUACACACUGGUCAGUGAAAACAAACCAAAAAAAGAGCAGAGAGAAUAAUAUUAAUUUCCCUUCUCUCAAUGAAACAGAAAAAUUGCUCUGCUGAAAAACAGUCUGGUGGUUUCACUGUGAAAAAUGUUGAGACUGGCACAGCAGAAUCAAGUCUCAUUAGCACAUUCCUGUUCCUCCACAUCCGAGGAUCAAACCAGCUUUAUGAACAAAACAGGCCGGAAACUGGCAACCUGGCUGCAAAGGUUUCUCCCCAACAAAGACUGGCAUCUAGUUCGUCCUCGACAAAGAUGAGCAGUGACUGCAAGAGGCCCUUUGGAGAGGACCACAAUAUGUACAUCCAUGUGUGAAGAACUGGGGACACAGGAGUAAGAGCUCAUGCGAGAUGCAACGUACAAUCCUCUGCAUGCCAUUUCCAGGAGGAAGAAAAGGCAAGAAAAGGUCACUUUAUAUUUAUACAAGAGUUGGUGUGUUAACUGCAGCUGAAAAUUUUGCUGUUCUCCUAGAAAAUACACCACAGCUUAGGCAUUAAAAGACCACCAGAGGACACUAUGGUGCCACUUACAUUCAAAAAUUAUUUACUUUAAGAAACUUCUCACGUUUUAAAGUUACUCAUAACUGUAUUUGGUGCAUCAAAUAGACAUUUUCUACAAAGAUGCAUUAAACUCAUCUUUAGACAGUGAAAAAUCACCAACUUGUUUUCUUUUUCCCCUCAAAUUCAGGUUCUGUACAUUCAAAUAAGAAGAGAUGGAUCAAUUUUUUCUCUACUAAAACUGCUAAAUAUUGCAGUAAUUUUCAGGGUAGGGUUAAGAUGCUGGAAAAAUACUGUUCAGGGUUUGUUGCAUUUUUUUCCUUUUUUUUUUUUUUUUUUAAUGAGCAUUUUUCAGUUCAGUUACAUUUUUAGCAUGGAUAGAUUUGUUGUGAUCUAUUUCUUUUUAAUAAAAGGCUCAAAGAAGAAACUGAGCACAGGCUUACCUAAGAUUCUUUAGAUGUUCUGAGUUUAUCUACAGGAGGAUACUCAGGAAAAUUAAUCCAAAUGGGCUUUUCAAACCUGUAUUAAACUUUUUUUUCAAAAAUUUUUAUUCAUACUAAAGGCACCUUCAUUUGCUUUGUCUGGCAAAACUUGCCUUAACUUCAGUUUUAAUCUUAGCUAUUUUAAAACCUAUUUUGUUUCUCAGAAAAACCCAUGGGGGAACUUGAAUUCAUGCUUUCUUGGCACUGUUUUUCUUUCAUUGCACUUUGGACUCCAUGGGUGAAAGACAUGCUUUAUAAAAAUACUGAGACCAGAUGCAGAGAAAGAAUUUCAGAGAAAACUACUUACCCAUUAGAGGGGUGAGGAUUAGCCCAGUGAAGGUUACAAAGCAACCUGGGGAGAAUCAACAGAAACAGAGCAAAAUCAAGCAUCUUCUCACUUGGUUCUGGUCGUCAAGGCCUUUCUUAUAAACAGCAACAUUUAUGUGAUGUAAGCUAAACGAGGAACUUCAUGUAGCAACUUUUACAACUUUUACAACAGAUUUUUCAUGACAGGAGCUGCUGAGCCAAGUCUAAGAUCUUCUCUAGGGUCACAGUUUUAAGGAUAUGAUGCAUGCCAUAAGGGUUGUUUGUUGAUUUUGCUUUGAAUUAAAAAAAAAAUCAUAAGUGGCAAUAAUUUCUCAAACAGCAUAAACACUGGGGAAAGAAUUGGCGCCUUUGCAAUUUGAGUGCUAGGAAGUGAAACAGUCUGUGAGCAGCUCUCAUCUGUAAUGCUAGACCAAGAGACUGAGAGAUUUUAGCUGUCACCAGAGAUUCUGACACCUAUGAAAUACAGAACUGAAACAAAAAUGCUUCCUUUUUUUCCACAGAAUUUUGUUUUUCCUCUGAUAUAAAUUAUAUAAUCAACUUAUAAAUAAAUAUGAUGGUUAAUAAAAGAUUUUACUUUCAUCUGGUUUAAAAAAAAAGAAAAAAAAGGAAAAAAAUGGAAAAAAAGGCAAAUUAAAGGAACACCAAACACCCACCACCACCUCAUGGUGUCCUGUGUAGUUGUUAGGCUUGUAAGUAAUCUAUUAAGUUAAAAAAUAAAACCAGAUUAAAGAAUAUAUACAGUUUUUAAAAUACUGACUCAAGCCUUCCAAAAUGACCCAAGAAACAUUAUCCCAUGUCAGUCUAUCCUGAACGCAGCUCUGGAAAUCCACUAACAUACCUUUCUGGGUCUGUGAAUUAAAUCCAACAAAUCUAAAGAGCAAAUUUGAAAGCCACUUUGUUUUGUUUUGUUUUGUUUUGGGUGGGGGUGUUAUGUGCAUGUUUGUAGAUUAGAUGUUUUUCGUUUUCAGAAUCUGAAGUAAGUUGAUCAUUUCCAUAUGUGUAAAUCCAGGUAAGGACAAACAGACAAACUGCUGCUUCCAAUAGCAAA